AGGGAAACGUUUUAUUAAAAUGAUUCUUUUUAAGAUCUUUCUUUUUUGCUUCGGCAUUUUAGGAGAUCUUGUUACUUUGAGUAAAUUAGAGUGUUCAAAGCAAAAAAAAUAAAAAAUCUUUAAGCGAUUGAAUACUGCAGCAUGGAAUAACAAAAUUGAACAAGUCAGAAUUUUGUUCUUUUUUCUUAUUUUGGCUUAGUUACGAUUAAUAGGAGUAGCUUGGGGGCAUUUGUAUUCAGAUGUCAGAGGUGAAAUUCUUAGAUUUUCUGGAGACAAACAACUGCGAAAGCAUUUGCCUAAAAUACUUCCAUUAAUCAAGAACGAAAGUUAAGGGAGUGAAGACGAUCAGAUACCGUCGUAAUCUUAACCAUAAACUAUGCCGACUAGGCUUUGGAUGAAAGAUUUAAAAAAAUAAUUUUCCCCCA
rnacentral:rRNA from 1 species